rnacentral:rRNA from 1 species
GACGAACGCUGGCGGCGUGCUUAACACAUGCAAGUCGAACGGUGAAGCAGGAGCUUGCUCCUGUGGAUCAGUGGCGAACGGGUGAGUAACACGUGAGCAAUCUGCCCCGAACUCUGGGAUAAGCGCUGGAAACGGCGUCUAAUACCGGAUACGACGCGCGACGGCAUCGUCUGCGCGUGGAAAGAACUUCGGUUCGGGAUGAGCUCGCGGCCUAUCAGCUUGUUGGUGAGGUAAUGGCUCACCAAGGCGACGACGGGUAGCCGGCCUGAGAGGGUGGCCGGCCACACUGGGAGUGAGACACGGCCCAGACUCCUACGGGAGGCAGCAGUGGGGAAUAUUGCACAAUGGGGGCAAGCCUGAUGCAGCAACGCCGCGUGAGGGACGACGGCCUUCGGGUUGUAAACCUCUUUUAGUAGGGAAGAAGCGAAAGUGACGGUACCUGCAGAAAAAGCACCGGCUAACUACGUGCCAGCCGCCGCAGUAAAAC